GACGAACGCUGGCGGCGUGCCUAAUACAUGCAAGUCGAACGCAUUUUCUUUCACCGUAGCUUGCUACACCGAAAGAAAAUGAGUGGCGAACGGGUGAGUAACACGUGGGUAACCUGCCCAUCAGCGGGGGAUAACACUUGGAAACAGGUGCUAAUACCGCAUAAUUCCAUUUACCGCAUGGUAGAUGGAUGAAAGGCGCUUUUGCGUCACUGAUGGAUGGACCCGCGGUGCAUUAGCUAGUUGGUGGGGUAACGGCCUACCAAGGCUGCGAUGCAUAGCCGACCUGAGAGGGAGAUCGGCCACACUGGGACUGAGACACGGCCCAGACUCCUACGGGAGGCAGCAGUAGGGAAUCUUUGGCAAUGGACACAAGUCUGACCGAGCAACGCCGCGUGAGUGAAGAAGGUUUUCGGAUCGUAAAACUCUGUUGUUAGAGAAGAACAAGGAUGAGAGUGGAAAGUUCAUCCCUUGACGGUAUCUAACCAGAAAGCCACGGCUAACUACGUG
rnacentral:rRNA from 1 species